GAUGAACGCUGGCGGCGUGCCUAAUACAUGCAAGUCGAGCGAACGGACGAGAAGCUUGCUUUUCUGAUGUUAGCGGCGGACGGGUGAGUAACACGUGGAUAACCUACCUAUAAGACUGGGAUAACUUCGGGAAACCGGAGCUAAUACCGGAUAAUAUUUUGAACCGCAUGGUUCAAAAGUGAAAGACGGUCUUGCUGUCACUUAUAGAUGGAUCCGCGCUGCAUUAGCUAGUUGGUAAGGUAACGGCUUACCAAGGCAACGACGCAUAGCCGACCUGAGAGGGUGAUCGGCCACACUGGAACUGAGACACGGUCCAGACUCCUACGGGAGGCAGCAGUAGGGAAUCUUCCGCAAUGGGCGAAAGCCUGACGGAGCAACGCCGCGUGAGUGAUGAAGGUCUUCGGAUCGUAAAACUCUGUUAUUAGGGAAGAACAUAUGUGUAAGUAACUGUGCGCAUCUUGACGGUACCUAAUCAGAAAGCCACGGCUAACUACGUG
rnacentral:rRNA from 1 species